CACAGACCUGUGUGGCCGAAAUGAUGCAAACCUUAAGGUGAUUUUCCCUGAUGCCGAGGUGGAGGAUAUCACUGACCCUGGGCUCAAGGUCAGAGCUCAGCCUGGGGACUAUGUGCUGGUGAAGGUUUAUAUACCCAUGGCUGGCCUGAAACUCCCUAUGUAGAUGAGACCUACCUGGAACUCAACACAGAUCUGUCUUCCUUCUGAACAUUGGGAUAAAAGAUCAUCUCUGCCAGUUCUCAAACUCUCAAAGGACACAUUCUCUGCAGGACCACUAUGAAAGACUCAUCAAUGAAUUGCUUGACCUGAGUUGGUGGCUUAGUGGUGGACUUGGGCAGUUUUUUCUCAUGCUUUGGAGACAAGGUAAAGUCUUGAAGCAUCUUCGCACCAAAUGGAAGAGUACAUUUCUCUGUUGUCACUCAAACAACUGUUCCAAUAAUAAAUUUCAUGAAUUAAUGGC
rnacentral:lncRNA from 1 species